UCCGGCUAUGUGUUUGCAUCCAUGCAUCCCAUCAACGCUGGCCAUCCAACUUAAAUCCUACGCUUGAUGUAACACACCCCUUAAUUUUGCAAAAACAUGCCCGCCUCCAUCCAGUUAUAGUCUGGUGAUUUUUCCAAAAAACCCUCAGCCGUGGUCCGGUUUACCGAUUCCCUACUACACAAUCCUUUUCUCAAUGACGAUUGCAACCAGUAUCAGCGGCGGCACGGACGGAACGCAUCUGCUUUGUCGAUCGCCGGAAUUGAACGCAUAUCUUUGGAUGGUCGCCGCGACGGCGAGGAUGGACUGCAACUCCCAGCCCCUAAUCGAUAUGGCAGGCAUAUUCUGCUCGUGCGAUGCGCCGCAACCGAUCACCAUGGCAGCAGUUAGGGAUGGUGCGUCUGAUUCAACAACAAUGGAUGAACUCCCAGCAUCAUCCAUAAAUCAACAUUGAGAUUGCCUCCCAAUCUAGCCACCAAGAAACUCACCUCACUUGCUCAGUUAUUUUUGUGGAAAAUGCUACCAACGCAGAACAGCAACGGAACAACACGACAGAUGGAGGUUCAGGUGCAGCUGAACUGCUGAAGGCAACAAUAGGUUGCAAACUCUAAUGAUUGAGGAAGAAUUUGCUACGCCAAAAAAGAAAGCCAGCAUUCUUCUAUUUUGCUGGUCUUUUAAACCAAGAUGCGACGAGAAAUUGAAGCCUAAAGUGGGGAGGUCAUUUGAAGGGCUUGAGACCGUGGAGGAGUUAUACAAGUCAUAUAGGCAUCAUGUGUGUUUUGGAGCUCGUGUUGGACAGCAGAAAAAGUUGAACAAUGUGGUGGUUAGGAGAAAGCCAGAUGAUGUUCCGUCCCUUAGUCUGUUAAUAUACAUGAAUUUAAACGAGUUAUUAAUGUCGAUUUCUUUGAUGUACUGGAUUCUCGUAAUGGUUGGAAUUAUGUGUUUUGUCAA